UACGUAGGGUGCGAGCGUUGUCCGGAAUUAUUGGGCGUAAAGAGCUUGUAGGCGGUUUGUCGCGUCUGCCGUGAAAAUCCGAGGCUCAACCUCGGACUUGCGGUGGGUACGGGCAGACUAGAGUGUGGUAGGGGAGACUGGAAUUCCUGGUGUAGCGGUGAAAUGCGCAGAUAUCAGGAGGAACACCGGUGGCGAAGGCGGGGUCUCUGGGCCGAUACUGACGCUGAGGAGCGAAAAGCGUGGGGAGCGAACAGGA
rnacentral:rRNA from 1 species